CAAGAGAAGUUACAAGUGAAGGAAAGGAAUGGAAAAGUUCCCACAGCUGAGAAGAAAUCUUUGCCUUCAAAAAAGAAAAAACAAGGUAACAAUGAACAAAGUAGAAAGAAGAAAGACCCAGUCCAAUCCAAGAAAGGUAGGUUUACUUAACCAUAAUCAGAAUCAUGACAAUAUUAUCACUGUAAUAUGUAUAAUAUAAAUUAUGCAAAGUUUGUUGGUUGUUGUGGAGUCCUUUUUCAUGUGUGUGUGGAUUAUAAAGAAUACAUGUACAGGGGUUUCAAAACAAGGCAGUAACUGCUGGGGUUCUGUCAGCUACUUUAGUACACCUUGAAUGAUUCAUAACAGUUUCUUUGGUCAUGCCAAUCAGUUCGCAACAAACAAGCU